rnacentral:rRNA from 1 species
ACGGGUGAGUAAUGCCUAGGAAUCUGCCUGGUAGUGGGGGAUAACGUUCGGAAACGGACGCUAAUACCGCAUACGUCCUACGGGAGAAAGCAGGGGACCUUCGGGCCUUGCGCUAUCAGAUGAGCCUAGGUCGGAUUAGCUAGUUGGUGAGGUAAUGGCUCACCAAGGCGACGAUCCGUAACUGGUCUGAGAGGGUGAUCAGUCACACUGGAACUGAGACACGGUCCAGACUCCUACGGGAGGCAGCAGUGGGGAAUAUUGGACAAUGGGCGAAAGCCUGAUCCAGCCAUGCCGCGUGUGUGAAGAAGGUCUUCGGAUUGUAAGGCACUUUAAGUUGGGAGGAAGGGCAGUUACCUAAUACGUGAUUGUUUUGACGUUACCGACAGAAUAAGCACCGGCUAACUCUGUGCCAGCAGCCGCGGUAAUACAGAGGGUGCAAGCGUUAAUCGGAAUUACUGGGCGUAAAGCGCGCGUAGGUGGUUAGUUAAGUUGGAUGUGAAAUCCCCGGGCUCAACCUGGGAACUGCAUUCAAAACUGACUGACUAGAGUAUGGUAGAGGGUGGUGGAAUUUCCUGUGUAGCGGUGA